rnacentral:rRNA from 1 species
UACGUAGGGGGCUAGCGUUGUCCGGAAUCAUUGGGCGUAAAGCGCGUGUAGGCGGUCCGGUAAGUCCGCUGUGAAAGUCGAGGGCUCAACCCUCGAAUGCCGGUGGAUACUGUCGGACUUGAGUACGGGAGAGGCGAGUGGAAUUCCUGGUGUAGCGGUGAAAUGCGCAGAUAUCAGGAGGAACACCGAUUGCGAAGGCAGCUCGCUGGAACGUUACUGACGCUGAGACGCGAAAGCGUGGGGAGCAAACAGG